UUCGAGUGGCGGACGGGUGAGUAACGCGUGGGUAACCUGCCUUACACAGGGGGAUAACACCUGGAAACAGGUGCUAAUACCGCAUAAGCGCACAGGGCCGCAUGGCCCGGUGUGAAAAACUCCGGUGGUGUAAGAUGGACCUGCGUCUGAUUAGCUUGUUGGCGGGGUAGGGGCCCACCAAGGCGACGAUCAGUAGCCGGCCUGAGAGGGUGGACGGCCACAUUGGGACUGAGACACGGCCCAAACUCCUACGGGAGGCAGCAG
rnacentral:rRNA from 1 species